rnacentral:lncRNA from 1 species
GACAAAAAAUCAAAAUCCUAUUGGUGAAAGGUUUCCGAGUACGGUGGCUCUGCCAGUCCUCCUUCGCGACUAAAGUUUUCUUUCGGCUAACCUACACCAGAAAAGGAAAAAGAACAUGAUGGUAAAAAAAUCAUGUGAAAUGAAAAAAUGAGAAGGGGGUCAUCAGAGAGGGUUUUAGGUUUUGGCCGCGGUAGCUCAGUCGAGCUUUGGCCGCGAUUUUUAGCUCACCCGUCGACCAUUUGGCUCCGAUAUGAGCAUAGAGAGACUUAGGAUUGAAUUUCAAGCGGGAAGGACAAAAAUACCUUUUUUGGCGGCGACGGUGGCUCUGGUGCGGUGGCGACGGUGGCCAACCUCCUU